rnacentral:tRNA from 1 species
CCCUGACUGGCUCAGUCAGUAGAGCAUGGGACUCUUGAUCUCGGGGUUGUGAGUUCGAGCCCCACGUUGGUGG